rnacentral:rRNA from 1 species
CUGCAAUGUGCAAGAGGUAAGUUUAGCAGAACAUUCUGGAAAGUAUAACCAUAGAGGGUGAUAGUCCCGUAUGCGAAAAACAAACCUUAGCUAGCAGUAUCCUGAGUAGGGCGGGACACGAGGAAUCCUGUCUGAAUCCGGGUCGACCACGAUCCAACCCUAAAUACUAAUACCAGAUCGAUAGUGCACAAGUACCGUGAGGGAAAGGUGAAAAGAACUGAGGUGAUCAGAGUGAAAUAGAACCUGAAACCAUUUGCUUACAAUCAUUCAGAGCCCUAUGUAGCAAUACAGGGUGAUGGACUGCCUUUUGCAUAAUGAGCCUGCGAGUUGUGGUGUCUGGCAAGGUUAAGCAAACGCGAAGCCGUAGCGAAAGCGAGUCUGAAUAGGGCGCUUAGUCAGAUGCUGCAGACCCGAAACGAAGUGAUCUAUCCAUGAGCAAGUUGAAGCUAGUGUAAGAACUAGUGGAGGACUGAACCCAUAGGCGUUGAAAAGCCCCGGGAUGACUUGUGGAUAGGGGUGAAAGGCCAAUCAAACUUCGUGAUAGCUGGUUCUCUCCGAAAUAUAUUUAGGUAUAGCGUUGUGUCGUAAUAUAAGGGGGUAGAGCACUGAAUGGGCUAGGGCAUACACCAAUGUACCAAACCCUAUCAAACUCCGAAUACCUUAUAUGUAAUCACAGCAGUCAGGCGGCGAGUGAUAAAAUCCGUCGUCAAGAGGGAAACAACCCAGACUACCAGCUAAGGUCCCUAAAUCUUACUUAAGUGGAAAACGAUGUGAAGUUACUUAAACAACCAGGAGGUUGGCUUAGAAGCAGCCAUCCUUUAAAGAAAGCGUAAUAGCUCACUGGUCUAGUGAUUUUGCGCGGAAAAUAUAACGGGGCUAAAGUAAGUACCGAAGCUGUAGACUUGCACACAACUUAGAUUAUUUAAGUUUAGAAUAUGAGAAACUAAGUUAUAUGUUUAGUUAUAUUUUUACUGAUUUUUAUAGAGUAAAGAUAGAAAUAAAACUUAGUAAAAUCAGUAAAAAUAUUCUUAGACUAAAGUUAAGUAGUUUAAGUUGUGUGCAAGUGGUAGGAGAGCGUUCUAUUUGCGUCGAAGGUAUACCGGUAAGGAGUGCUGGAGCGAAUAGAAGUGAGCAUGCAGGCAUGAGUAGCGAUAAUUAAUGUGAGAAUCAUUAACGCCGUAAACCCAAGGUUUCCUACGCGAUGCUCGUCAUCGUAGGGUUAGUCGGGUCCUAAGUCGAGUCCGAAAGGGGUAGACGAUGGCAAAUUGGUUAAUAUUCCAAUACCAACAUUAGUGUGCGAUGGAAGGACGCUUAGGGCUAAGGGGGCUAGCGGAUGGAAGUGCUAGUCUAAGGUCGUAGGAGGUUGUACAGGCAAAUCCGUAUAACAAUACUCCGAGAACUGAAAGGCUUUUUGAAGUCUUCGGAUGGAUAGAAGAACCCCUGAUGCCGUCGAGCCAAGAAAAGUUUCUAAGUUUAGCUAAUGUUGCCCGUACCGUAAACCGACACAGGUGGGUGGGAUGAGUAUUCUAAGGCGCGUGGAAGAACUCUCUUUAAGGAACUCUGCAAAAUAGCACCGUAUCUUCGGUAUAAGGUGUGGUUAGCUUUGUAUUAGGAUUUACUCCGAAAGCAAGGAAACUUACAACAAAGAGUCCCUCCCGACUGUUUACCAAAAACACAGCACUCUGCUAACUCGUAAGAGGAUGUAUAGGGUGUGACGCCUGCCCGGUGCUCGAAGGUUAAUUGAUGGGGUUAGCAUUAGCGAAGCUCUUGAUCGAAGCCCGAGUAAACGGCGGCCGUAACUAUAACGGUCCUAAGGUAGCGAAAUUCCUUGUCGGUUAAAUACCGACCUGCAUGAAUGGCGUAACGAGAUGGGAGCUGUCUCAAAGAGGGAUCCAGUGAAAUUGUAGUGGAGGUGAAAAUUCCUCCUACCCGCGGCAAGACGGAAAGACCCCGUGGACCUUUACUACAGCUUGACACUGCUACUUGGAUAAGAAUGUGCAGGAUAGGUGGGAGGCUUUGAGUAUAUGACGCCAGUUGUAUAUGAGCCAUUGUUGAGAUACCACUCUUUCUUAUUUGGGUAGCUAACCAGCUUGAGUUAUCCUCAAGUGGGACAAUGUCUGGUGGGUAGUUUGACUGGGGCGGUCGCCUCCCAAAUAAUAACGGAGGCUUACAAAGGUUGGCUCAGAACGGUUGGAAAUCGUUCGUAGAGUAUAAAGGUAUAAGCCAGCUUAACUGCAAGACAUACAAGUCAAGCAGAGACGAAAGUCGGUCUUAGUGAUCCGGUGGUUCUGUGUGGAAGGGCCAUCGCUCAAAGGAUAAAAGGUACCCCGGGGAUAACAGGCUGAUCUCCCCCAAGAGCUCACAUCGACGGGGAGGUUUGGCACCUCGAUGUCGGCUCAUCGCAUCCUGGGGCUGGAGCAGGUCCCAAGGGUAUGGCUGUUCGCCAUUUAAAGCGGUACGCGAGCUGGGUUCAGAACGUCGUGAGACAGUUCGGUCCCUAUCUGCCGUGGGCGUAAGAAGAUUGAAGAGAUUUGACCCUAGUACGAGAGGACCGGGUUGAACAAACCACUGGUGUAGCUGUUGUUCUGCCAAGAGCAUCGCAGCGUAGCUAAGUUUGGAAAGGAUAAACGCUGAAAGCAUCUAAGCGUGAAGCCAACUCUAAGAUGAAUCUUCUCUAAGCUCUCUAGAAGACUACUAGUUUGAUAGGCUGGGUGUGUAAUGGAUGAAAGUCCUUUAGCUGACCAGUACUAAUAGAGCGUUUGGCUUAUCUUUAAUAAAGCAU